rnacentral:rRNA from 1 species
AACAGAUAAGGAGCUUGCUCCUUUGACGUUAGCGGCGGACGGGUGAGUAACACGUGGGUAACCUACCUAUAAGACUGGGAUAACUUCGGGAAACCGGAGCUAAUACCGGAUAACAUUUGGAACCGCAUGGUUCUAAAGUGAAAGAUGGUUUUGCUAUCACUUAUAGAUGGACCCGCGCCGUAUUAGCUAGUUGGUAAGGUAACGGCUUACCAAGGCAACGAUACGUAGCCGACCUGAGAGGGUGAUCGGCCACACUGGAACUGAGACACGGUCCAGACUCCUACGGGAGGCAGCAGUAGGGAAUCUUCCGCAAUGGGCGAAAGCCUGACGGAGCAACGCCGCGUGAGUGAUGAAGGGUUUCGGCUCGUAAAACUCUGUUAUUAGGGAAGAACAAAUGUGUAAGUAACUGUGCACAUCUUGACGGUACCUAAUCAGAAAGCCACGGCUAACUACGUGCCAGCAGCCGCGGUAAUACGUAGGUGGCAAGCGUUAUCCGGAAUUAUUGGGCGUAAAGCGCGCGUAGGCGGUUUCUUAAGUCUGAUGUGAAAGCCCACGGCUCAACCGUGGAGGG